AGAGUUUGAUCAUGGCUCAGAUUGAACGCUGGCGGCAUGCCUUACACAUGCAAGUCGAGCGGCAGCGCGGGGGCAACCCUGGCGGCGAGCGGCGAACGGGUGAGUAAUACAUCGGAACGUGUCCUUUCGUGGGGGGAUACCAGUCGAAAGACUGGCUAAUACCGCAUGAGAUCUCACGAUGAAAGCGAGGGACCGCAAGCCUCGCGCGAUUGGAGCGGCCGAUGUCGGAUUAGCUAGUUGGCGGGGUAAAAGCCCACCAAGGCGACGAUCCGUAGCUGGUUUGAGAGAACGACCAGCCACACUGGGACUGAGACACGGCCCAGACUCCUACGGGAGGCAGCAGUGGGGAAUUUUGGACAAUGGGCGCAAGCCUGAUCCAGCCAUGCCGCGUGUGUGAAGAAGGCCUUCGGGUUGUAAAGCACUUUCGGCCGGAACGAAAUCGCCUACGUUAAUAGCGGAGGUGGAUGACGGUACCGGAAGAAGAAGCACCGGCUAACUACGUGCCAGCAGCCGCGGUAAUACGUAGGGUGCGAGCGUUAAUCGGAAUUACUGGGCGUAAAGGGUGCGCAGGCGGUUCCGCAAGUCAGGCGUGAAAUCCCCGGGCUUAACCUGGGAAUGGCGCUUGAAACUACGGAACUGGAGUAUGGCAGAGGGAGGUGGAAUUCCACGUGUAGCGGUGAAAUGCGUAGAGAUGUGGAGGAACACCGAUGGCGAAGGCAGCCUCCUGGGCCAAUACUGACGCUCAUGCACGAAAGCGUGGGGAGCAAACAGGAUUAGAUACCCUAGUAGUCC
rnacentral:rRNA from 1 species